GGCGGCAUGCUUUACACAUGCAAGUCGAACGGCAGCGCGGGGCAACCUGGCGGCGAGUGGCGAACGGGUGAGUAAUAUAUCGGAACGUACCCAAGAGUGGGGGAUAACGUAGCGAAAGUUACGCUAAUACCGCAUACGAUCUAAGGAUGAAAGCGGGGGAUCGCAAGACCUCGUGCUCCUGGAGCGGCCGAUAUCUGAUUAGCUAGUUGGUGAGGUAAAGGCUCACCAAGGCGACGAUCAGUAGCUGGUCUGAGAGGACGACCAGCCACACUGGAACUGAGACACGGUCCAGACUCCUACGGGAGGCAGCAGUGGGGAAUUUUGGACAAUGGGCGCAAGCCUGAUCCAGCAAUGCCGCGUGAGUGAAGAAGGCCUUCGGGUUGUAAAGCUCUUUUGUCAGGGAAGAAACGGUAGAGGCUAAUAUCCUUUGCUAAUGACGGUACCUGAAGAAUAAGCACCGGCUAACUACGUGCCAGCAGCCGCGGUAAUACGUAGGGUGCAAGCGUUAAUCGGAAUUACUGGGCGUAAAGCGUGCGCAGGCGGUUUUGUAAGUCUGUCGUGAAAGCCCCGGGCUCAACCUGGGAAUUGCGAUGGAGACUGCAAGGCUUGAAUCUGGCAGAGGGGGGUAGAAUUCCACGUGUAGCAGUGAAAUGCGUAGAGAUGUGGAGGAACACCGAUGGCGAAGGCAGCCCCCUGGGUCAAGAUUGACGCUCAUGCACGAAAGCGUGGGGAGCAAACAGGAUUAGAUACCCUGGUAGUCCACGCCCUAAACGAUGUCUACUAGUUGUCGGGUUUUAAUUAACUUGGUAACGCAGCUAACG
rnacentral:rRNA from 1 species